UAGAGUCAGGCAGAUCUCUGUGAGUUCGAGGCCAGCCUGGUCUACAGAGUGAGUUCCAGGACAGCCAGGGCUACACAGAGAAACCCUGUCUCAAGAA
ensembl:miRNA Gm23840 predicted gene, 23840